rnacentral:rRNA from 1 species
GAUGAACGCUGGCGGUGUGCCUAAUACAUGCAAGUCGAGCGAACAGACGAGGAGCUUACUCCUAUGACGUUAGCGGCGGACGGGUGAGUAACACGUGGAUAACCUACCUAUAAGACUGGGAUAACUUCGGGAAACCGGAGCUAAUACCGGAUAACAUGUUGAACCGCAUGGUUCAACAGUGAAAGACGGUCUUGCUGUCACUUAUAGAUGGAUCCGCGUCGCAUUAGCUAGUUGGUAAGGUAACGGCUUACCAAGGCAACGAUGCGUAGCCGACCUGAGAGGGUGAUCGGCCACACUGGAACUGAGACACGGUCCAGACUCCUACGGGAGGCAGCAGUAGGGAAUCUUCCGCAAUGGGCGAAAGCCUGACGGAGCAACGCCGCGUGAGUGAAGAAGGUCUUCGGAUCGUAAAACUCUGUUAUUAGGGAAGAACAAAUGUGUAAGUAACUAUGCACGUCUUGACGGUACCUAAUCAGAAAGCCACGGCUAACUACGUG